AUUUUACUAUUUAGUAUUAGCAGAAAAAGUAUUUUAACUCAUAAAUGCUUUCAGGAUGAAUAAUAUUUGUUUAUGCUCUAUACAAUGUCUGAAGAAUAAAGAAACGCCAUACAAGUGAUUUGGCUUUUACCAAUAUAGUAUUCCAUUAGAGAAACAAAUGUUUUAGAGUAAACGCCCUACUAUUCACUCAAAUUGUGUUCACUAAGACAGUACUAUUUGGCUACUUAUAAAUGGCUAAUGAUGAAAGCAUUUUAUGAAGGUAUGAACAAUAAUACAUUUGAACCAACAUCAAAUUCAUAUAAAGGAUAAUUACUUAAAUUUUGAUUUCAAUAUAUUCAAUUUUUAGAUAUAAUACCACAUUUGUUGUAUUCACUAUCUACAAUUGUAAUAAGUGAAAUAUUUUUUACUUGCAUACCAAAUUUCCCAGGUACUCAAGUGAUUGGAUAAUUAUCAAGAGUAGGUACAAUAAAGCUUAAGUGUGCGCAGAUAUUAUUGGCAAG